GACGAACGCUGGCGGCGUGCCUAACACAUGCAAGUCGAGCGGAGACAUUGAAGUAGCAAUACAACGAUGUUUUAGCGGCGGACGGGUGAGUAACGCGUGAGCAACCUGUCCCAAACAGGGGGAUAACGAACCGAAAGGUUCACUAAUACCGCAUAAGACCACACUGCCACAUGGCAGAGGGGUCAAAAGGAGAAAUCCGGUUUGGGGUGGGCUCGCGUCUGAUUAGCUAGUUGGUGGGGUAACGGCCUACCAAGGCGACGAUCAGUAGCCGACCUGAGAGGGUGAUCGGCCACAUUGGAACUGAGACACGGUCCAAACUCCUACGGGAGGCAGCAGUGGGGAAUAUUGGGCAAUGGACGAAAGUCUGACCCAGCAACGCCGCGUGAAGGAAGAAGGUUUUCGGAUCGUAAACUUCUAUCCUUGGUGAAGAUAAUGACGGUAGCCAAGAAGGAAGCCCCGGCUAACUACGUGCCAGCAGCCGACGGUAAAGCUACGUAGA
rnacentral:rRNA from 1 species